AGAAAAUAAAAAUUAUCAAUUUGGUAUGAUUAACAAAAUGGAACAUGACCAUAUCAAUUAUAUGGCUAAGAAAACUAGGCCUACGCGAUAUGGUAACAACUAUAACAAUUUAAAUGGUACUAAUAUUAGAUAUGACUAUAACAGCAGUUAUAACAAUGCAUACGGUAGCUACAUGCAUGGUAACUACAUGCACGAUAACUACAUGCACGAUAACUACAUGCAUGAUAACUACAUGCAUGGUAACUACAUGCAUGAUAACUACAUGCAUGGUAACUACAUGCACGAUAACUACAUGCAUGGUAACUACAUGCACGAUAACUACAUGCAGAACGAAAACAAACAAGUAAUUGUAUCUGGCGAAAGCUGCAACUACUUAUUCAAACCGUUCCAAAAAUUAACCAAACUAAAUGAAAAAAUAAAAAAUUAUAUAUAUGGAAAGGUAUAUUAUCAAAAUAAUUUAACAAAAUAUAUGAACAGAAUCAAUUUGGUUUCAUUUAUUGAUACUAGUGGUAUAAACGACUUAGCUGAUAAUGACUAUGAUGAUGUAGUGAUGAAUUUAGCUAAGCAUGUUGAUCUGAUAUUUAUUUUUAUAGAUUCUAAUACGAAUUCUAUAAAUAAUAGAUUAUUAAAAAUAAUAAAUUAUUUGACGGAUAAUCAAAUAAAUAAAAUAACUAUAUGUAUUAGUAAAAUAGAUUUAAUACAUAAAAUUAAUUUAUAUAGAGUUGUUUUUUACCUUACACAGUAUUUUCUUCAUAAUUUAAAUAUUUUUAAAUAUCAACUUUUGAAUAAAAAACAUAAUAGAAAUGCACUUUUAGGACAUGACGAUAGUGAAUAUGACGAGGACGAGGAUGACAAUGACAACGACAACAAAAACGGUACCUAUAGUUACAAGUUUGGUAAUAAACGAAAAAGAAGAAAAAAUAAAACUACGAAUGAAUAUUUUCGUAAAGCUAUUAAUCCUAUUAAAAAUAUAUUAUUACUUCCGAAGAUGCUGAACAGUUUGGUAAAAAGGGAGGAGCAAAGGUAUGGUUAUUACAAUGAUAGUAACACCAUUAGUUGUAAUAAUAACGUCCAAACCAACAACAAUUACAGGAGUAGCAUUCAUAGAAGUAACAGUUUUUAUGAUAAAUUAAAAAGAUUUAACUUGUUCGAAAAAAACGAACAUAUAAAUAACUCGAACAAACAAAUAACUAAACAAACAGAUCAUGAAGAAAAUACUACAAUUGGUAAUUCCCGUUAUAAUUAUUUCGAAAAUGGAAAUUAUAAACGUAUAUCACAUAAUAAUGAAAAUGGAAAUACAAAAAUACAAUUUUUGAAUAAAGAAAAUAGUAGAAGUACAAACGAUCGAAAUACAAAUUUUAUUACUCAAGCACAAAACAAAUUAAAAAGAGGAGAAAGUCUGUUACAACAAUUUUUAACAAAAAGUUAUGACUCUUUUAAAGAAAAAAUAUUAAACACUGACAAAAAUAACACAAACAAAAGUCUUAAUAAAAGUCUUAAUAAAAGUCUUAAUAAAAGUCUUAAUAAAAGUCUUAAUAAAAGCGUUAAUAAAAGUUUCGAAAGAAGGGAUAGUAUUUAUGCAAAUAUGUUUAAUGCUAAUGAAAAGGAAAAUAUAAGACGAAAAGAACAAGAAGAAGAAAAAGAACGUAGAAGUUCUUGUUAUAAUAAUGAUGAUAAAAGUAGAAGUAGAGGUAACGGUAGGGGUAGAGGUAGAGAUAGAGAUAGAGAUAGUAGUGGUACAUAUUAUCCAUAUGAGUACAACAGUAAUAGUAUGGGGAAUCGAACUAGAAAUAGCACUAUAAGUGCUACUAAUCAUAGCAAUAGUAGUAACAUCUUUCAUAAAAAAGGAAAUGAAUCUUAUUCGAAUAUAAAAAGCAAUGACGACGAACAUAGUAACUAUAAAAAUAAACAAUUUUCAAAUGGACUCAAUGGGAUCAUAGGUAUGGAUGCGAAAAAAUAUAUAAAAGAUAUUUUAGAAAAAAAAAUAAAUUAUAAUGAUACUUUAAAAAAUUUUAGUAUAUUUUUUGGUGUUUUAAUGUAUGAAUUUGCAAAAACAGUUUAUAGCAUUAUACAUACAAGUAUUAAUAAUUAUUUAAAUACAAAAAAUAAUAGAACUAUUAACGCUGAAAAGCUUUAUAAAUUAGAUAAUACAAGCACACCAAAUGAAAGUACUGAUAACAAUGUAAAUGAUAGUAACUCUUUUAAAAUACUUGAGUUUUUAACAAUUUAUAUACCAGAAAUACCAUGCACUAUAUUGAAAAAAGAAAAGUGGAACUAUAAUCAUAUGGGUUCUAAUUUUUAUUACAAUCAACCAAGGGGUAGAUUCAGUUGUAACAUUCCGUAUAACCACUUGGAAAAUGAUGGUGCCAUUGCUGGUAGUACUGUUGAUGGUGGCACUGAUGAUGGUAUUGAUAAUGGCAUUGAUGAUGGUAUUGAUAAUGGCAUUGAUGAUGACAUUGAUGAUGGCAUUGAUGAUGGCAUUGAUGAUGGCAUUGAUGAUCAAGAUGAUGUUUAUAAUACUAAUAAUGCAUAUACAAGUGGUCGGAUACAUCCUAAACUUAUUAAUAAAAAUAUGAACAACCGUUAUGACAAGCGAUAUAGAGGAAGAACAAGUAUACCAGAUGAAAACUUAUAUUUUGGUACAUAUCACCCAAAUGAUAACACUUAUUCUACAAAUGGACAACUUGAUACUAAUAACGCAUUUAUAACAACUACAAAUGUAGUUCGUAAUUUGAAUAGAACAAAUUUUAACACGUACAACAACAAUAAAAACAACAACAGUAACAAUAACAGUAACAGUAACAGUAACACGCACAAUGGUCAAAGAAGACGACAAUCUGCUUACGAAUUGCAAAAUGAGAGUAGUAAUAAAAACUAUGGUGCACCGUAUAUGCAAAGGUAUGAAUAUGGUAAUAAUGGUGUGACAGAAUUAAGAGGUAGAGAAUCAGUACGUGAUAUAAGUGGUAGCAAUACAAAUGACUUAGGUAUCAGACCAAGGUUAAACCAUAAGUUAUCAUAUGGGCAACAAACUGACCCUUAUAAAUAUAUAAAUCACAACCAGAAUACACAACAAAUAUAUACUAAUAAACAUUACGCACACCAUUAUAAUACAAAAAGUAAUUUAAAACAAUACUAUCCACAAUUUGCACAUCCAAACGAAAUGGUAUAUAACGAAGCAAAAGAAUUAAACAUGAUUCAGGAACUUUUGUAUAAAAUUGAUGAAGCAGUUGAUGUAAAAAGUAAUAAAAGUAUAUAUAUGCUUAAAAAAGAUUUACAGACUAUACAAAAUAGUUGUUUAAAAAGGAUAUCAGAUAAUGAUAAAAUAAUUGAAAAAAAUAAAUCAUUACGAAUUCAAAAUCUGAAGUUUUAUUUUUUUAAAUAUAUGGCAAUUUUUUUAGGUUUUAUUAUUUCUUUAUUAAAAUAUGAUAUAUUAGUUUAUUUUAAUUUUGUAAAACCUAAAUUGUUAUAUAGUAUUAUGUCCAAAUAUUUUAUUUUUUUAUCAUCCUAUAAUGAAAAUUCCAUAUUUAUUUUUAUCAACAUCCUUUUAUUUAUGGCUUAUGUUUUUAUUUAUAUGCGUUAUAAUAGACGAAAUUAUUUUAAAUCGUUGGAUAAAAGUGACCUAAACAAAUUAAACAUUAUUUUAUUAUUUACUCAAAUUAUUUGUGAUGAAAUUAACCAGUUGCAUUUACGCUUGUUAGGGAAGGAGAGUAAACGGGACAGUGACUAACUAAUUUGAAGAUGGUAACCUGUGGUGAGAAUCGUGAUUGCGUGAUUGCGUGAUUGUCUGUGUGAUUAUGCGAUGGUGCUAUAGUUUCGGACAUGAUGAAUUAAGGUGGGAUUCGGAUCGCAUGUUCAACUAUGUACUUCAUGUGUGUUAUGCAACAAGCGUACUUAAUCACAACAAUUCGAAGCAUCGUAAACAAAAUUUAAAACAGAAAAAAAAAAAAAAAAAAAAAAAAAAAAAAAAAAAAAUCAAUUUAAUAGUGUAUAAAGUCCAAAAUUAAAAAAAUUCUCAAAGGCAAGAAUUUAAAAAGUUAGCGGAGGUUAUAUUUAAAAUAUAAAAAAAUAAAUAUAACUUGCAAAACA
ensembl:lncRNA